CCACUUCAACAACAUACCAACUACCUUGCUGGAAAUGGAAACACGGUCUCCACAGGCAUGAGAGAGAGGGGAGCAGUUUCACCCGAGGAGGCGGGGAAAGCCAGAGAGACACAAAAAGACUCUGUGAAGCAACAGUCACUCCCAUGGAGGAUUGCUAAAAAGAGAACAGCUUCGCAGGCAGAGAAACUAAAGUGAGGCGCACAGUCAAACCGCAAAGCAACUAGACAACCACUCUGCAACCAAAAACCACAAAACGAGAAGAGCAAGAAACUUGAAGACCAAAGAAGAGAAAGAUUAAGAGAAGCAUGAAAGGGAUUUUGUGCCAUCUCACUUUUCCUCCACUCCACAUGCAGAGUAUCAUCAGUACCUGAGGAAUUAUCACUCCUAACCUUAAUCUCAACCUGACUGCUUAUCUCCGUCCGGUAGUCUCCACCUCUGAGUGACGUACUGCACAUUUUAACAACAGACUGACAUAUAUAAAACACACUCAGCAGGUUAACUCCUCCAGGGGAGGCACGUCAUGUUCAUCACUGCCUCCUCCUCAUCAAGUGGUUGGCUUACUUCGGUUCUGUAACUUUUGCAGGUCAUUCUGGGCUGGGCUGAGAGUGUGAAAACAACAACCGAGACUCUCAUAGGAUGGAUGCCAGAGAGGAGACGCUGAACAUCCUGAACAAGAUCUGGGUCAAGCUGCAGGGUCUGCCAAAUGCUGAACCCAUAGAGCUGGGAGCUUUCUUUGUCAUCUUAACCUUCAUCUUGGUGGUCCUGCUCAUGACACUGCUGACGUGUGUGACCUGCUGCUGCUGCUGUCGCAAAACCAAGACGAGGGGAUCGAACAUUUGAGCAAAUGUGCUCCACACAAGGAAACAUAACAUCUCAAGCAUAAUGUCAUGGUCAUACACCUAAUAAAUAUUCGAGACAUUUCGGUGAGUGACGAACCCUGAUACAGGGUGUGUUUAGUGGCACUAAAGGAGCCUUGCCCUUGAACAACAAAACACCUGACAAACACAGAGAUGGAUGUCCUGACACACACACCUGCUAAAGCCGCCAGGUUUUCAAGACGCUCUACAAUCCUUGGAGCAUCCCUGCGCUUUACAGGGCAACAACAAUGCUUCUGAAACCCAAAGUGACUUGAAUAAUGCAGGAUAAUAAAUGGAAUAUGAGCUACAAAGAUGUACAGAAUAAUAAUAAAAAAAAAACUGCAGUGAGCUGCACAGUGAGAUAUGAAGGGGAGAGGCAAACUGGUUUGUUUAUGUUUUUUUUUCUAAACCUAUGUGUCAUUUUUAAGGAACGACAAUUGGCAUUCAGAGUUAGGUAAGAUCCUCCUAGGGGAGUAGCUGUUUUCAAACCUGAAAGUGUUCCUUGACAUAAGUCACAACAAAGCAUAAAACAGAGAUCAAGUCUGCCCUCUGCUGUACACAAACCAGAAUGAACUAUGAUUACAUUUUUAAAGGCAGAGCAUGCAUGUGAUGACAGUCAUGUAUAAAGCCGCAUGUUAUAUUAUGUGCAAGGGGGGAGACAUUAUGUAAUGAUGUGAUACAUUGACUACACUUUUGUACGCAAUAAACAAAAUGGGACUUGCA